rnacentral:lncRNA from 1 species
CGCCAGCACCAGCACCAGGGCCACCGCGAUCGCCGCAGCUAAUCCGAGAAAGUAAGGCGAGGAAUAGCUGAUUUCGUGUCCGAUAGCGAGUUCGGCCCCUUUGAGGAUCAAGAACCCUAAGAUUCCGGAACCGAUCACGAUCGAGGAGGUGAUGGCUUGGGUGCAGAUGAGCGUGGCCAAGAGCGGGAAGAAGGACGUCCCGAUGGACUUGAUCGCCGACGGGAGCUUGACCGGCCGGCCGUAGAACACCUGGACGACGCUGUAGGUGAUGGAGCACGUGGCGCAGAUGAACAGGAGCGUGAGGAAGCAGCUGUACCCCACGCUGACGAGCACGCUCCUCGGGUCGACGCUGCUUUGGUGGUGUUCGGCCGGUUGAUUGAGGAGGGGGGAGCGCCGGAGGAGGGCCUGGACGUGAUACGGGUCCGAGAAGGAGGAGAAGGAGCUGAGGAGGAGGCGGUGGAGAAUGGGGUAGGCGGCGACGCAGAGGGAGAGGGGGAGGAGGAAGAGCACGUAGAGGACGAGGAAGUGGCGGGAGUGGGCUUUGAGCAUGCGCCGCGAUUCGGAUAACACGGUCCGGAAGUCAGCCGCCCGCGGCGGCGGUUGCGACGGUGGCGGCGGCGAAAGUGGUGGUGGUGUCGCCGUUGCCAUGGCCGAGAGCUGCAGCUGGCGUCGUCGUGGAUGAUUCAGAGUCUCAGACGGAUACGGAUAAGGUAGAUGGAUGGAGAACGCUAUUUAUAUAAAUAAUUAAGCAAGUAAAAUAACUAAAUAAAUAAAUAAAACAUUUCUCUUUUUUUAACUCUUUUUCUUACAAGGUAAGCAUGGGCCAUGUAUACGAACGGUGGAGAGUUCAGGAAAAAUUGUUUUUUAUUUUCAGUGGAUGGAUUGGACUGGCAAUGUAACACACAAUAAUGCUUAUAAAGGGUUUGAACUCUUCCUAUGAUGACGUAAUUUGAUUUGGAAGACUCAAAAAGGCAUGUUCAAUAUUGCUAGUUUUGAAAAUAAAUAGGCUCCUCUAAAAGAAGGAUGGAUGAAUUUUCGACGAAUUUUUAAUAGGUCGUGUUUUAAAGCAUACAGAUAUAUUUAGAAAAAAUCUUAAAUAAGAAUCUAAAGUACUAUCAUUUUCUCAAAAGAGGACCUGAAGUGAAAUUUGUCUCAAAGAAAGACCAAAAGUGGUCAUUUAGUCUCAAAGAAUGAUCUCACUUGCCGACCGAUGAAUAAAUGCAUCUCCGAUGUAUAUUUCAAUGGCCUAAUUAGGGUAUUUUAGUCCUUUUUUUUUUUCCAUUUUUGAUUUCCCUAUUCAUCGUCUUUUUCGUCCCCUGUUCACUUCUUCUUGGCCAGAUCAAGAACACUGAACUUGGGGAAAGGCUGGCGAUAGCUAGCUGUUGGUAAGGGCCGGCGAGGGCUCAACGCCCAUCAUCGGCAGUGAGCGAGGGCUAGACGCCCAUUGCUGGCAGCGGGUGAGGGCCAUCGAGCCCUUGCUGGCCAUGGGGGAGGGGGGCCGUCCAAAUCAAGGCCCUACAAGGAGGUCCUCGAGGGCAAAAGGUGUAGCCGGAGAAGUCGUCGAUCGGGGAGUUCAAUUGUGUUCCAACUUUUCUAUCUUGGAUUCUACAAACAACAAUUAUGGCCCCUUUUCCAUUACAUGCUUCCCAUGCGUCCAGACCACGGGGAGCGUUUUGACCGUUCAUUUUGGCAAGCAUAUGUAUCUGCAAACAAAAUUUUUGCAGACAAGGUUAUGGAAAUCAUAAGUCCUGACGAUGACUAUGUUUGGGUUCAUGAUUAUCACCUUAUGAUCCUACCCACAUUUCUAAGAAAGGGAUUUCAUUGAGUCAAACUCGGAUUCUUCCUCCACAGUCCUUUUCCUUCAUCAGAAAUAUACAGAAACUUGCCUGUCCGGGAUGAGAUUUUGAGGGGUUGUUGAACUGUGACCUUAUAGGUUUCCAUAUGUUUGAUUACGCGCGCCAUUUCCUUUCAUGCUAUGGUAGAAUGCUGGGCCUGGAUUAUGAAUCUAAGCGAGGGUAUAUUGGACUGGAGUAUUUUGGUCGGACAGUGUAUAUCAAAAUUUUGCCUGUAGGCGUUCACAUGGGCCGGCUUGAAUCUGUCCUUAAUCUUCCUGCUACAUCCACCAAAGUCAAGGAAAUUCAAGAACAGUUCGAGGGGAUGAAAGUGAUUCUUGGUGUUGAUGACAUGGAUAUCUUUAAAGGCAUCAGUCUAAAACUACUAGCUUUGGAGCAGCUCUUGCAGCAGCAUUUGCAAUUACGUGGCAAAAUAGUCUUGGUUCAAAUUGUGAAUCCAGCCAGAGGUUCAGGCAAAGAUGUCGAAGAAGCAAAAAAGGAGACAUAUUUAACUGCCAAAAGGAUUAAUGAAGCUUAUGGUGCUGCCGGUUAUGAGCCUGUGGUUUUAGUCGACCGUCGCAUUCCACGUUAUGAGAAGAAUGCCUAUUAUGCAGUAGCAAAAUGCUGCAUCGUGAAUGCCGUGAGAGAUGGGAUGAAUUUAGUUCCUUACAAGUAUAUUGUUUGCAGGCAGGGAACUCCAAGCAUGGAUGAAGCACUGGGCAUAAUGAAGAAUGCUCCCCGCACGUGCAUGCUUGUCGUUUCCGAGUUCAUUGGUUGCUCGCCUUCUCUUAGUGGAGCAAUUAAGGUCAACCCUUGGGACGUUGAUGCUAUGGCUGAUGCUUUAAGUUUAGCAAUAAACAGGAGCAGUUCUAAGAAGCAAUUAAGACACGAGAAACAUUACAAAUAUGUUAGUACUCAAAAUGUGGCAUAUUGGGCACGCAGCUUCACACAUGAUCUGGAGAGAGCAUGCUGAGAUCAUUACAAGAAGCGGUGCUGGGCAUUUGGUUUGGGAUUGCGAUUCAGAGUUCUCUCUCUUUCUCCCAGCUUUAGGAGGUUAUCAAUUGAUCACGCAGUCUCUUCUUAUAGAAAGACAAAGAGAAGAGCUAUAUUUCUGGAUGAUGAUGGCACUGUUGUUCCUGAAACUUCUAUCAGUAAAAUGUCAAAGCCCGAAGUCCUUUCUGUUUUGAACACUCUCUGUAAUGAUCCAAUGAACACUGUAUUUAUUAUCAGUGGGAGGGGGAGAAAAUCAUUAAGUGAGUGGCUUUCUUGGAGAAAAUCAUUAAGUGAGUGGCUUUCUUCGUGCAAGAUGCGUGGAAUAGCCGCUGAGCAUGGGUAUUUUAUAAGGUAUGCGGAAAACAGAAUCUCAUGUAUUUCUUGUUAUAAAUAUAGUUUCCCCAUCAUUAGGGUUUUGGCUCCUUUUCUCCUGCAGGUGGAACAGUGCAGCUGAGUGGGAAACCAGUUCAUUGUCUGCUGAUCUUGAUUGGAAGAAUAUCGUGGAACCUAUAAUGAAAUCAUACACAGAGGCAACUGAUGGCUCGAGCAUAGAGUACAAGGAGAGCGCUUUGGUGUGGCACCAUCAGGAUGCAAACCCUGAUUUUGGAUCAUGCCAAGCCAAGGAGUUGUUGGCUCAUCUAGAGAGCUUCAUCUCUGGACCUUCUUUUUCUAUGACUCCAGAAAUUUUCGCUUGCACGGUGGGGUAGAAGCCAAGCAAGGCAAAAAAAAAUAAUAAUAAUAAAGAACAAGACAACUGAAAAAAGAGAGAGACAAAAAUACCCCUGAUUAAGCUACCGGAAUAUGCAGCGGAGAUGCAUCUAUUCACCGGCCGUCUAGUGAGGUCCUUCUUUGAGACUAAAUGACCACUUUGGGUCCUUAUUUGAGACAGACUUCACUCCAUGUCAUCUUUUGAGAAAAUGAAGGCAUUUGAGGUCUUUAUUUGAGAUUUUCUCAUAUAUUUAUGGUUAUAAUAUUGGUACGGGUGCCUCUGCUAUGAAAUUGAUUGAGCUAGGUUUGAAAAUCAAUAUUCUCUUCUAGAAGAAGGAUAAAUGCAUUUUCAAGGAAUUUUUAAAAGGCUGUGUUUUAAAGGAGACAGAUAUAUUUAUGGUUACAAUAUUGGUAUGAAAUUGAUUAAAUAAGUGGUUGGACUUAUUUGAUCGCGGUGGAUUCAAAAUGUUGAAAACUCAAUUGCACAUUUUCAAAGACGUAGGUAGGUUGUUUGUGAUUGCCUAGACCUUUUUAUCGGAUACAAUAAGGUUGGACCGAAUAAAAAUGAAAUUUCUAAUGUCUUAUAUAAUGUUUGGAAAAUACAACGUUACCCAAAAUGAAUUGAAUGACAACCUUCUGAGUGCAUGUUACAUAUUGUCAUUGGCAAAUCCUACCUCGCUCUUGUUACCGUUCUCUUUCUCCACCUCCACCUCCACCUUCUCUUCGAUCAUGUUGGAUUGAAUGCUAACCGUCUAGAUCUCCAAGCUCUUACGGAUGUCCAAGCUGCCUGGGUAUCAUUGUUGUGCAAGAUGUCUAGCAACCACUAGUCCCUCCUCCAUUUUCAUUUUCGACCCGCAAUCUUCAACAACGCUAGCGUAGCUGCCACCCUUACCCUCGUGGCCGAUGUCAAGUUCGGAUGAAGCUGUUGCAGAUGAAGGUGUGGCUACUCAUGUGGCUGAGGUCAAGUCAAGCUCCUAUGUGAUCAAGGUCCGAUCGAGCUUUGUUGAGUCAUGCUCAGCCAUGGAGGAGCUCUAGAUGUGGCCAUGGUGUUCGUCCUAGGUUGAGAUUGACUCGAGCUUGUAACAGUGAUGAGCCUCAUCGGUGGCAAUGACGAUGGAGCUAGGUGGACGACUAUGGGUGGAAGGAGCUGUGGUUGACAUUCAUGAGUGAGUUGAAGGGACAAAGAAGAGAAAUGAACGCGAGACAUGUUUUAUUCGCAUUUAUAUCACGUCCACAUGAGACUAUUUUAUCCCUCCUAUAUUUACCUUAUUUUGUCUUGAACAGAAAUCAAGCAUAUGAUAUGAUAGUAUUAAUUAUGUCUUGACUUUUUAUCUUGGCCAGUGAAUGUAAUUUUAGGCUCUAUUUGUUUUGUGGAAAAUAAUAUUUUCUUCAUUUUCUAGCGUUUGGUUUACUUAGAAAAAUUAGUCAAUGGAAAAAUGUUUUCCCAAUGAAAGGAAUAUUUAUGCUAAAAUUCAGGAAAAUGAUUUUAUUUUUGAAAAAAAAAAUGAAGAUAUUUAUCAAAAUAUGAUUAAAUAUCAGCACUUGAACUCAAAUCUUCGCGCUUGGACACGGGAACCUAACGUUAGUUCCUGGUGCUUAGGCUAAAGUAUCACCCUUUGAUGCCCACACCGGGGUCUAUCGAGGUCGGGCCCAAGGCCCUCAUGCUCGUGCCCAAUGCUUUGACACUUGAGCCCGAGUCAUAAAGGCAAUGUUGGGGUCCUUAAAGCUCUAGUCCCUUGCACUAACACCCGGCUCCAAAAGGCCAUGUGCAAAUUCUUGGCACUCAAGCUCGGGCCCUUUGUUAAUAAAAUGUUCAUUUUUUUAUAAAUUAUAUUUUUUUUAAAAUCGAAUUUAUAAUUAUUUUUAGCCUUUCCUUUUCUUUCCUUCUCUUUUCAUUCUUCUUCGGUUGGUCGCCUUGGCUGGUGAGGUGGAGCCUCACUGGUCUUGGGGGAGCUCGUCCUUCGCUUGUGGCUAGUCACUGUAGCCAGCUGAGCAAGAGGGAAAAAGAAAAGGAAAAAAAAUUAGAAAGUUCGAACAUUUUGGUAAUCUUCCCUAGGUUUUUUCAUUCCAAAUGGCGAAAGAUAUUUUCUAAUUCAUUUUUGUUGACACUUAAAUUUCGAUUAUCCAUUUAAUUGUUCAUUACAUAAAAAUAUUAGGGAUCAACCUCAAACCCCAAAAUUAUAUAUAGGCACGUAAUAUAGGCACACAUGAUUACGUUGGAAUCAAUGGACUGGUGCAGGUAGGUUUUGAGCCUAAAUGAAUUGGACGAAGCCCGUUGAAAUACAAACUCGGCCUACCUGGCCCAUUAUCCUCUAAGUGGCUGAAAAUUGGGAGUAGUAAAUGCGUAUUUCCGAGAUAAUUAUGAGAGGGUCUACACUGUCAUGCCCUGCAAUUCUGUUCCAAGGGGCUAAAACCCCAUUCAAGAAACGGGAAGUGAUCUUUGGACAGCAAGGGCAUUGAAGUCUCUCUCCCCCUCUCUCUUUUCGCGCUCUUUCUCCUCUCAGCAUUCGGCAGAAACAAACCAACGAAGCACCUCGCAGCUGCUCUGCGCACCGAUUCGCUCCUUCGGUAAUCUCUCUCCCGAUCGAUCGAUCGAUCGAUGUCGAAGGACGAGGGUUAGACUCGCGCUAGGUAGGAUAGGAGCCGACAUGUUUUCGGGACGCUAUUGGGGCUGACUGUUUUCUGUUUUCGCGAGCGCCUCUUGUUGGAGGAAGGGAUUGGGAUUAGUUUGAAUUGUAGGUUUUCUGUUUACCUCCUCUCGGCCCAAGAGUGUGAUCAACGAUGAUUUGGCGUGCUGCACGCUUCCCUCGAGCACUAUAGAACGCCUGCAUUCCUCCUUUUUCCGUGAUCAAAGUAUGUUUCGGAUUUCGAUUAUGACAUUGGAGCUGUGGAAGCUUUUGGCUCGAAUGAGAGUGUUGUGGCGGUCGAUGUGUGGAUGCGAGGUUGGCCGAUGCCUCUUUGAAACGUCUGCCGAUUUCGUUUGGUUGGGGAGCUCGAGAGAGGAAAGUGGUGAACUGGGGUUCUAAUAUUCGAACACGGUUUAUUCGUUCGGAGCAACUUUAUGAGGCACACGAGGUUCCUGAAUAUCGCGGUGGAUUGUCCCAGGACUAAACCUGGGUGAAUCAAUAGCCUUCUUAGGUUUUGAUGUGCAUGUUUUCCGAGGAUGAAAUUUGUGAGUGAAUUUCAAAGGAAGAGUAAUGACGGUCGGGUCUUAGAUUUUCGGUGAGUACCAAAAAAGAUGAAUGAUGCUUUGUUCCGAAGAAAGCCAAAGAACGCUGCAGUUUUGUACGUCCAAACAACUUGAACAUGUGCUGAGAAUCAAUUCCACAACAUCUGAACAGCAGCAAAAAUGAGUCCAAAUAGCAUCGCUCCCCACCCUACUUAGAAAGUGGUGACACGAUACAAUGCGGCGAUGUUUUCACUCGGUACACGGGUGACUUAUCUCACUGCAAGAAAGAAAAGGCACAUCUCCAUCUAUCAAAUUGCAAUACCUUUAUUACGCGUCAUUAAGUGAUUACACCGAAUUCGAUCAGAUUCUAACUGAUGUAAACUGUAUAGUUGCUUGUACAGUAUACAUGCCUUUGAUCGUACAAACAAAAUUCAACACGUAGAGGCCACACACAUGGGCGAUGUCGAGCUACACUUCAUUGCUAUCAAUUAGAGUUGCAAAGCAAAGCAAUCUCACAACUACCUGAGUCAAUGACCGAGAGCACCGUCGCACCAUCACGAAUCGAUCAAGCGUGCGCGACAUAAGACCUUCUCGUCAUCGAAGGGCAGACUAACGUACUCCCUCGCGAACUCCUCGGCGAUCUCAAUGGCCAGCUCUCCGUGCAGAGCCUUGCAGUACAUGUACAGCACCACGGUCGCGGCCAGGCUGAGCUGCAUCAGCACCGUGAGGCAGCUCGACGUCGACACGAUCUGGGCCACGAAGUACCAGCGCCUCCAUUCGUUCCCAUCGAUUACCGAUUCCGAAGUCGACAGAGUACCAAUACACACCACAAACCCCGACAGAACUCCGAAGAACAGCGUCAGCGACAGCGCCACGCCUCUCAUCCCCUUCACCAGAUAAGCGCUCCGCCGCAGCGGAGCGAACCCGUAGCUCAAUUCGGCCACCACGACCACGUUCACCAGACCCCACUGCACUUGCAGAUACGCCAGCAUCAGCACCAGGGCCACCGCGAUCGCCGCAGCUAAUCCGAGAAAGUAAGGCGAGGAAUAGCUGAUUUCGUGUCCGAUAGCGAGUUCGGCCCCUUUGAGGAUCAAGAACCCUAAGAUUCCGGAACCGAUCACGAUCGAGGAGGUGAUGGCUUGGGUGCAGAUGAGCGUGGCCAAGAGCGGGAAGAAGGACGUCCCGAUGGACUUGAUCGCCGCCGGGAGCUUGACCGGCCGGCCGUAGAACCCCUGCACGACGCUGUAGGUGAUGGAGCACGUGGCGCAGAUGGACAGGAGCGUGAGGAAGCAGCUGUACCCCACGCUGACGAGGACGCUGCUCGCGUCGACGCUGCUUUGGUGGUGUUCGGCCGGUUGAUUGAGGAGGGGGGAGCGGCGGAGGAGGG